CAAUACAGUUGAUGGCGACCGGCAAACGGGUGCGGAACACGUACACAACCUUCCUUCGAGUGGGGAAUAGCCCGGGGAAACCCGGAUUAAUACCCCGUAACAUAAUGAAGUGGCAUCACUUUAUUAUUAUAGCUCCGGCGCUUGAAGAUGGGUGUGCGACUGAUUAGGCAGUUGGCGGGGUAACGGCCCACCAAACCUACGAUCAGUAACUGGUGUGAGAGCACGACCAGUCACACGGGCACUGAGACACGGGCCCGACUCCUACGGGAGGCAGCAGUAAGGAAUAUUGGUCAAUGGACGCAAGUCUGAACCAGCCAUGCCGCGUGGAGGAUGAAGGUCCUCUGGAUUGUAAACUUCUUUUAUCUGGGAAGAAAUCCAUGAAUUCUUUUGUGGUUGACGGUACCAGAUGAAUAAGCACCGGCUAACUCCGUGCCAGCAGCCGCGGUAAUACGGAGGGUGCAAGCGUUAUCCGGAUUCACUGGGUUUAAAGGGUGCGUAGGUGGGCAGGUAAGUCAGUGGUGAAAUCUCCGGGCUUAACUCGGAAACUGCCAUUGAUACUAUCUUUCUUGAAUACCGUGGAGGUCAGCGGAAUAUGUCAUGUAGCGGUGAAAUGCUUAGAUAUGACAUAGAACACCAAUUGCGAAGGCAGCUGGCUACACGAAUAUUGACACUGAUGCACGAAAGCGUGGGGAUCAAACAGGAUUAGAUACCCUGGUAGUCCACGCCCUAAACGAUGGAUACUCGACAUACGCGAUAUACUGUGUGUGUCUGAGCGAAAGCAUUAAGUAUCCCACCUGGGAAGUACGAUCGCAAGAUUGAAACUC
rnacentral:rRNA from 1 species